AUUGAACGCUGGCGGCAGGCUUAACACAUGCAAGUCGAGCGGGGGAAGGUAGCUUGCUACCGGACCUAGCGGCGGACGGGUGAGUAAUGCUUAGGAAUCUGCCUAUUAGUGGGGGACAACAUCUCGAAAGGGAUGCUAAUACCGCAUACGUCCUACGGGAGAAAGCAGGGGAUCUUCGGACCUUGCGCUAAUAGAUGAGCCUAAGUCGGAUUAGCUAGUUGGUGGGGUAAAGGCCUACUAAGGCGACGAUCUGUAGCGGGUCUGAGAGGAUGAUCCGCAACACUGGGACUGAGACACGGCCCAGACUCCUACGGGAGGAAGCAGUGGGGAAUAUUGGACAAUGGGGGGAACCCUGAUCCAGCCAUGCCGCGUGUGUGAAGAAGGCCUUAUGGUUGUAAAGCACUUUAAGCGAGGAGGAGGCUACUUUAGUUAAUACCUAGAGAUAGUGGACGUUACUCGCAGAAUAAGCACCGGCUAACUCUGUGCCAGCCGCCGCCGUAA
rnacentral:rRNA from 1 species